UUUUAUGUGAAUAACACAAACGUGAUGUGACACAUUAAGUAUAUGAAAUGUUAAGUGAGUUGCCAAAUUAUCGUCACGUCAAAUGCACCUUCAGCAAGUGGUAUAAGUAAAAACACGAUUUUCCUUCUUCAACUUAGCCAAUUCAUUUCUCUGCAAAUCAAAUGGAAUUCCCCCAAAUUGACACCCCAAACCCUCACAACAGUUCUCAAAUUGAAACCCAUUCAUUUUGGAGGCAAAUCUCAAAUUACAAGUGUGAAAAGCCAAAUGCUCCAACCCCUAACCCUAAAACCCAAAUCCAUUUCAUUCUCAUCGCUUUAUGCUCUUGAAAUCAAGAGAAGAAUUAGGAAAAAACCAUUUACAUCAUCAAUCCAAAACCUGAAAUUGGCUUUUCCCAUACCUAAAAUUGAUUUUCUCUAAUGUUGUGAUUCCGUUUUUACCAUACUUAACUUCCACAAAUAGCUGGUGAGUUUGAAUUUGCAUUUGGUUGUAUCACUGUGAUUAAUACUAUUGUGUUAUCAUGCUUUUGUGUCCCUGCAGUUUGUUUUACUAAUUUAUCCAUGGAGGCCAUUGACUUGACGCUAAACGUAUUGAAUUUGUGCGUGUUUGUUGAAAUGCUUCUACCCCUGCAGUUUGUGUCACCGCUUUAUUCAUUAAAACCAUUUAUUUAACGCUAAACGUACAAAAUUCCCUGGCUGCACAUAUUGUUUAGAAUGACAGAGAAAAAUAAAGACAUUUUGUCAUAAAGUUCCGGCACAACUUGUCUGAAUGCCUGAUAAAGAAACGAUGCCCAAAAUGUGGUGUUGGCUUCUUGAAAUGUAUGGAGGUAGAAAAAAAUAUUGGAAACGUAGGUUGCUUAUUCUUAUGAUGUACUUGUUGGGAAUUGAUUUAAACAUGCAUAGCGGAAUUUAACAAAUUUCAAUUCCCAUUCAAGAUUCAGCUUUGUAUUUAGAUAAAAACUGUGAUGAGAAAUAUACCUUUUGUGUGAUUUGCAAACUCUUUCGCGUUAUUCCUUUCCAGCAGCUUGAAUCUGCCUCCCACAGCUGUCCAAUUGUGCAGCCUCCAAUGAAAUCCACACAGAGAGAAAACAGCAACUGCUAGGGUUUCUUUCUUGUGCUAGCAAGAACAAUGAAUAACUUAAUGGACCUCAAACCCUAGCUGCAUAUAUAUAUAAACCCAAACGGACCCGGCCCGGUCCGGUCCAAUAUUUAAUUAAUCCAAUUAAUCAAAUCCGGUCUGUGAAUUAAUUAAUCCAAUUAAUUAAUUCGGGAUUAUAAAUAAGAAAUUCAAUUAAUUAAUUUAUCCAACGAUUGUUAAAUUAAUCAAUUAACAAUUUGCAGUCUUCAAAUUCUCUUUUGUGUGCGACCCAUUAGGUUCCCGACCACGAUGCCUAACGUCGUGAAAUAUUAUUUUGAUCUAAUCAAAAUCGAUAAAUUAAUACACCCUUUUAAUUUAUCGUCAAUUCACAUUCGCCGUCCCUGAUUGACAUCUAGCAAUGUGUCAGGGCAAUACAUGUGACGAGAAAUGUCACGUGGUAUGACAAAACCAAAAUCGUUCGUUUAUCAUGGAACUAUUAUCCCUUCGUCAAUACGAUCCGAUCAAUUACGAGAUAUGGAAUUGUGUCAAUCUCGAUCAUCGAUCAUAUCUUUCAUUCCACUAUUAAGUCAAUAUAAAUCGAAAACUCCUUUUCGACUUAUGAGUACACCUUGGCCAAGGAUUUCAUCAUCGACUUAAUUGAAUGAAACGCAGAUCAUAAUCUCCUAAUAUCUAAGAGUGACGAAUCCUUUAUUGAUCAAUCACAACCUUCAUACGAUUCUUGACGUACCCGAACGAUGUCGUAUUAGCGGCCCUUUUCAGAGCAACAUCCAACACCGCCAAAGUAUGACUGUCCUCAUAUAGGGUACUAUGACNNNNNNNNNNNNNNNNNNNNNNNNNNNNNNNNNNNNNNNNNUGUUCAUUUAAGUGUCACCACACUUUAGCUCGUGAGAUCAGCUACUUACUUCAUAAGUAAGAAAUGCCAUACGUGAUGGUCUAACUGUAUUAACGAUAUCCGUAUCUCGUUAUUACUUACGACCAUGGUUUAUUCAAGAUCCAAUUAUAUGUAAUUUGUAUCUCACAAUCACAACUCCUUGUGAUUAACAGAUUACCUAAAAAUUGGGUUUUCGGAUCCUAUUAUUUAAUAUCAUUUAUUACAAAAUUAAUUUAAAUAAAUAAUAGAUCUCGCCAAAAUCAAAUGCAUUAAAUAUAUUAAAAGCGUUUACAACCUAAAUCGAUUGGAUCUAGGGCAUAACACUUACAGUACUAGGGAUUGAUUGCAGUUAUGUCAAGUGGAACGAUGAUUCAUUGGAAGAUAAGACUUUGCAAUUUGAAGUGUAAUGGACGAUCGAUAUGUGUUUGUUCAGGUUAAUCGAAGCCUAAAGAUCCGAAUGAAGAUUUGUCAUGCAUGUUGAAGAAUUGUGCUCAAAUAACACAACAAGAAGACGUCN
rnacentral:lncRNA from 1 species